UUGCGAUCGACAUGAAGAUUGUUCAAAUAUCAAGUGUUUGCUGUUGUAACUGUUCGUGCUUGUCAAGUUGAAGUUGAAGUUGUUCCAUUCAUUUUGUGUGGGGACCUUUCUUCGAACUGGCGUUUUCUUCUUUGUUGUCAACGGUACGAGAGUUGGAGUUGUUUGAGGUGGAGAGCAGUAUUCUUUCGUUGAUAGUUGUCGUAGGCAGUUGUAGUAAUGAGGUGUAACAUUUGUCGGUGGUUUCUGUGGUUUUGCUGAGACAGGUAAAUUGCAUUGUGUUGCAGUGUGUUGUGAAGAUGUCCCCGUGAUGUCGUUCAUUGAUCGUCUUCACCUUUUUCAGCUACUGACACAGUCAUUGACUGACGUAGCUGCAUGUCCGUGGACGUGGGGUCAAAGGUUACUCCACUCUAAAUAUGGCGUUGAGUAUGACGUCAUGAUGAGUUUGUAUGUGUGUGCGUACGCAUCAGUGUAGAUGCAAGUAUUGACAUGUGAGAUCAAUCUUGUUUGGAUCAUUGUGUAUGUCAUAGUGUGGGGGUACUUGUUGUCUUUCUUACCUCUUAUUUUCUGUCCCCUUGUCUGUCCAUCUGUAUGUGUGUCUGUCCGUCUGUUUGUAUCUGUCUGUCCAUCUGCGUCUGUGUGUGUUUGUGUGUUUGUGUGUGCAUGUGUGAUUAUCUGUGUCGUGUGUGUGCAUGUGUCUGUUCUUUCUAUGUCUGUCUGUCUGUCUGUGUGUCCAUCUGUGUCUGUCUGUCUGUGUGUCUGUGUUGCGUACGCAUUGUCCCUGUACAGACAUGUCCAGUCAAGAAGUAGAUGGGUUCGCUCGGGAGGUGCAGCGACGGGGUGCCACACUGGAAAGUCUUCAGGCUGCUGUGCCUCCUCAGCAGCCGCAAUUGUCCUCCACAUCACGUAAAGUGACAUGGAAACCAUCAUCAUGGUCAUCACUUCCACCAUACUGCUACUCAAUGGGAACAAUGCUCCUUUGUGUGAUCUGCUUGGAGGGUCGGCAUCUUCGUGAUGAAAUCCUCUACACUAUUGUACACUACAUAUUUAGUGUACAUAGUGUAGAGAUGGAUGAGCAAGACGAAACUUGGUACAAAGAGACACUACUGCACCACUGUGCAGAGUGUGGAAAUGAUCGACUAGCAAAUAUUCUCAUCGGACGUGGAGCUGAUGUCAAUGUGCAGGACAGUGUGGAACGAUGGACUCCACUUCACUAUGCAGUCGACUGUAACAAGAUCAACGUUGUCAAGGUGAUGCUGUCACAUGACAGUGACGGUGUCACCUUGGAUACCACACUGCGUGACUAUAGAGGGAGAACAGCGUUGGACCUAGCCAGGGAGGAGAAUCAUGAGGGAUGUGUGCAGUUGCUGGUGGAUCACGAGAGUGCGAAGGUAUGUACAGUAGACUUGACUGUGAGUGACUGAAUUUAGAUGUACUGUGUGUCUACAGUAAACAUUACAGCGUGUCGUACAUUUGAUUGGUUGAACUAUGCAGUGACUAGGUGUCACGUGAGUCACGUGAGGUGCACCUACCACCACCAUGUCCUACAUUUGUACAGCUGUCCAUGAGAUCAAGAGUACAUAAACACGAGAGAGUGUAACUCCGCUUGGUCUGGCCAUGGCGGAAUGUUUCAUUUUGUUGACUUUUCUGGAGAUGACGAGUCCUACCGUACGAGGCAUGUACUACGAGUCUGUGGGCGCGUGAGCUUGUACAGUUUUCGUUAGGGGUUGUCGCAAAAGUUUUUUUGUCGUCUCUGAAACGAGAG